UACGGUUAAGUCAGACGUGUAUCUAUCAGGACAUUUCCUCCCUAAACAGCUGCAACAUGAAUGAUUCCUAUGAGCCGUCGCUUGUUUUUCUGAGACAAUAGACUCAUGAAUUGUAAACGGGAUGUCAACCAACUUGGCGUUAUACUUAGAACAUCUUCAAAAAGACCCCGGGAUGGAUAGUGAAACAGGGAUAAUGUCUAUCGACCAGGGAGGAGAGUGGGACAUUAGCCUGUUUGAUGAGCUCGACUACAUGGGAGAUGCAGAAGAGCUGCUUCAGGCCCUGGAGCAUGGCAGCUAUACCAAUGAGGGUCCAGACCUGGACUUUGACAUUGACAUACUGCCGUGGAAGGAAGUUGACGGGAGCAGCUGCACAGGUACAUGUUGACAUCUGU